UACGUAGGGUGCGAGCGUUAAUCGGAAUUACUGGGCGUAAAGCGUGCGCAGGCGGUUCGUUGUGUCGGCGGUGAAAGCCCCGGGCUCAAACCUGGGAAUGGCCGUUGAAACUGGCGAACUGGAGUGUGGCAGAGGGGGGUGGAAUUCCGCGUGUAGCAGUGAAAUGCGUAGAGAAUGCGGAGGAACACCGAUGGCGAAGGCAGCCCCCCCUGGGGCUGACACUG
rnacentral:rRNA from 1 species